CAAAACGAUCCCAACUAAAACUCCCUCCAGAAGCGAUGAUUUGAUCUUGCAAACUUCAUCACAAAUUGUGGAAUUGAGUGAUCCAGCAGUACCUUCAGCAAGAAAUCUUUCCAGUUCUCGAUAAGAAGGAUACUGGAUUGAUCGAAAUGGAUCUGAAAGAUAGAGUACUUCAUACUUUGCCCCUAGUGUCUCCACAGAACUGAUAAGCUCAAACAAAAUUUCACUUUCAGUUUGUGGUUCCUCAAAUCCUUUUGCAGAAUAGGAGCCCUCAUGGCAGAAUACAACCAGAUCUGCUUGC
rnacentral:misc_RNA from 1 species